AUUGAACGCUGGCGGCAGGCCUAACGCAUGCAAGUCGGACGGUAGCACAGAGGAGCUUGCUCUUCGGGUGACAAGUGGCGGACGGGUGAGUAAUGUCUGGGGAUCUGCCCGAUAGAGGGGGAUAACCACUGGAAACGGUGGCUAAUACCGCAUAACGUCGCAAGACCAAAGAGGGGGACCUUCGGGCCUCUCACUAUCGGAUGAACCCAGAUGGGAUUAGCUAGUAGGCGGGGUAACGGCCCACCUAGGCGACGAUCCCUAGCUGGUCUGCGAGGAGGCCCAGACACACUGGAACUGAGUCCCGGUCCAGAUUCCUACGGGAGGCGGCAGUGGGGAAUAUUGCACAAUGGGCGCCAGCCUGAUGCAGCCAUGCCGCGUGUAUGAAGAAGGCCUUCGGGUUGUAAAGUACUUUCAGCGGGGAGGAAGGCGAUGUGGUUAAUAACCGCGUCGAUUGACGUUACCCGCAGAAGAAGCACCGGCUAACUCCGUGCCAGCCGCCGCGGUAA
rnacentral:rRNA from 1 species